GAUGUAGUGUAAGAACAGAUUGGUCGAAAUGACCAAUUUAAAUUGGUUGUCUCAGACGCAUUUAUUUGCCAAUUUGUAUUGUUUAAAACAACCAACAAAUUGGUUAAAACUACUCAAAAAAAUGGUUAAAACAACCAAUAUUUUGUUGUUUGAUCAAAUAAAAUUAGUAAAAAAAAAUGCGUCUGAGACAACCAAUUUGAAUUGGUCAUUUCAACCAAUCUGUUUUUACAGUGAUAGC